UACGGGGGGGGCAAGCGUUGCUCGGAAUCACUGGGCGUAAAGCGCACGUAGGCGGCUUUACUAAGUCAGGGGUGAAAUCCUGGAGCUCAACUCCAGAACUGCCUUUUGAUACUGGUGAGCUUUGAGUCCGGAAGAGGUGAGUGGAACUGCGAGUGUAGAGGUGAAAAUUCGUAGAUAUUCGCAAGAACACCAGUGGCGAAGGCGGCUCACUGGCCCGAUACUGACGCUGAGGCACGAAAAGCGUGGGGGAGCAAACAGG
rnacentral:rRNA from 1 species